AACGAACGCUGGCGGCAUGCCUAACACGUGCCAGUCGAACGAGACCUUCGGGUCUAGUGGCGCACGGGUGCGUAACGCGUGGGAACCUGCCCUUAGGUUCGGAAUAACUCCCCGAAAGGGGUGCUAAUACCGGAUAAUGUCUUCGGACCAAAGAUUUAUCGCCUUUGGAUGGGCCCGCGUUGGAUUAGCUAGUUGGUAGGGUAAAAGCCUACCAAGGCGACGAUCCAUAGCUGGUCUGAGAGGAUGAUCAGCCACACUGGGACUGAGACACGGCCCAGACUCCUACGGGAGGCAGCAGUGGGGAAUAUUGGACAAUGGGCGAAAGCCUGAUCCAGCAAUGCCGCGUGAGUGAUGAAGGCCUUAGGGUUGUAAAGCUCUUUUACCCGGGAUGAUAAUGACAGUACCGGGAGAAUAAGCUCCGGCUAACUCCGUG
rnacentral:rRNA from 1 species